rnacentral:rRNA from 1 species
AGGACGAACGCUGGCGGCGUGCUUAACACAUGCAAGUCGAGCGGUAGGGCCUUUCGGGGUACACGAGCGGCGAACGGGUGAGUAACACGUGGGUGAUCUGCCCUGCACUUCGGGAUAAGCCUGGGAAACUGGGUCUAAUACCGGAUAUGACCUCCUAUCGCAUGGUGGGUGGUGGAAAGUAUUUAUCGGUGCAGGAUGGGCCCGCGGCCUAUCAGCUUGUUGGUGGGUAAUGGCCUACCAAGGCGACGACGGGUAGCCGACCUGAGAGGAUGAUCAGCCACACUGGGACUGAGACACGGCCCAGACUCCUACGGGAGCAGCAGUAGGGAAUAUGGACAA